rnacentral:misc_RNA from 1 species
GUUGGAUUUAGAUAAAUUGGAACCAAUUCUUAUAAAAUAUGGAUUCUGAAAUUUCAUUAAUUAUAUAUUGAUAACAAUAAAAGAAGGUUCAGUAUGAACUGGAGUUGUAUGUUUUAUUAGCUAAAGCCAAAUCAACAAGAAAAGCUGAAAUUAAUAGCCUUUGUAUUUGCCUAUUAUUUACAUUCUUUGAACCAAGAUUUGUGUACUAGAUUGGAGCAGUAUUAGGGAUGGCUAUGGUGUGGAAAUUUUAGAUUAUUUGGAGUCAUGGGUGCUAGACUGAAUUUCAGACCUUGGUUUGCCUUCUCUUGACCAUCACGUACUUCCAUAUUUGCUUUCUUGCUAAAUUUUAGAUUUUAGCAAUAACUUCAGGCCUGUGAAGUGUUAACAUUCUCAAAUUACAUUUUAUUGCUAGUUAAGCUCAAUUGGUAUAUUUGUGGAUAGUUAGAAGCGAGUACUAUAGGUCUUUCUCUCAAGUGCUGUGACCAAAACGAAAAAAAAAAAGCCAAAAUAGUUGCUCAAAUUUGCAAGAAGUGUAUGUUGGGCAGAGUACUGUAGUGUUUAAUAAUUCAUAAAAUGAUUGGAUUGGCCGAUUGGGCAUAUCUACUUAAUGGAAUGUAUAGUGGUGUUGUGAGCAAUUCAGCUUAUUAUACAUGGUGGCUGGCACCCAAACUGAUGCUUAAGUGACCUUAUACGUGAGAAUCGCUUACUGGUUGAAAGAUAACAGGGAAUGCUGAAAAAGAAGAGUUCUGAAAGAGUUGUUUUAUCUUUCCUCUUUCCAGCUAUAUCGCAGCAUUGAAAGCUUUUAAGCAGUCUGAUAUGCUAGCCAGCUAGGCUAGAAAGUAGAUUACAAUGGGAUUAAAGAAUGAUUAAAUGCAGCCAAGGGAGUUUCAUCCUUUUUCAGGUUGGUGUGUUAAUUAAUUGCGUAGGAGGAAAAAAGUGUGAACGGAGAUGUAAUCAUUCAUUAUUUUUAUUUGCUAAUUUACGAAUUAGUCUAUUCUGUUGUUUUCUUUAUAUAAAAAGAUUAUAUAUGCAUUUUUUUACCCCAUUUAUUGGAGGAAUUAUGCAACAAGGACGUUUCUGCUCUUUCA